UCCAGACUCCUACGGGAGGCAGCAGUGGGGGAUAUUGCACAAUGGGGGGAACCCUGAUGCAGCGACGCCGCGUGGGUGAAGGAGCGUUUCGGCGCGUAAAGCCCUAUCGGCAGGGAAGAAGGAGGACGGUACCUGACUAAGAAGCCCCGGCUAACUACGUGCCAGCAGCCGCGGUAAUACGUAGGGGGCAAGCGUUAUCCGGAUUUACUGGGUGUAAAGGGGGCGCAGACGGCAGCGCAAGCCAGGAGUGAAAGCCCGGGGCCCAACCCCGGGACUGCUCUUGGAACUGCGCGGCUGGAGUGCAGGAGGGGCAGGCGGAAUUCCUGGUGUAGCGGUGAAAUGCGUAGAUAUCAGGAGGAACACCGGUGGCGAAGGCGGCCUGCUGGACUGCAACUGACGUUGAGGCCCGAAAGCGUGGGGAGCAAACAGGAUUAGAUACCCCCGUAG
rnacentral:rRNA from 1 species